UGUGUGUUAUAAAAGCCAUAAGCAGCUCUGAGACAGAGAAUAUAAGAAGGAUGAGAGCAGGGGUAUAGAGUGAGCCCCAUAAGCCCCUUGGAGGGUGGGCUCAGGAAUGCACAGGGCAUUCCCCAACAGAGAAGGAAGCUAGAAGAAGAGCUCAGGGAUUAGGAAAGGAAAGUGACUUCUAAUUGUGAUUCUGGGCUGUCAGCCUCUGAUUUCUUUGCUCACACUGUGGCUAUGCAGCUCGGAACAUAGUGCAGAAAGAAUGAGUAAAUACUAAUAAUCUGUUUACCUCGCCUUUUCUUUGCUUGCAUGUUUACAAUGCACUUCUCGCCCGCUCACAUGUUCCAAUCCGCCAUUUCUCUCUCUUCUGGAAGAAUUCACUGGUGCUGACCCAGGACUCAUUUUACAUUUUACGUCUUUUCUAAACUGAUGCCCCUUGGAACCCUGUAUAAAAGCUCACCUAAUACGGGCAAGGUGCGAACAAAGACUUCAGCCCAAGAUCCCCCUGAGUCAAUGUCACAGGAGUCUGACAUACCCAACUGGGAAAGGAGGCAGUCCAAAGAGCAAUGUCCCUCCCAAUGCCAGUACAACAGACCAGCACACAGCCUGCCGCCAUUUCAGGGACGUUGCUCUACUGAUGAAGAAGCUGGACCUGCAAGGGAUACCCCGCAGGCUCUGGAGAUCUGCUGGGCUUGCCAUCUCUGCUUAUCACCUCUGACGUGACCUUGGGCAAUUUACUGAGCCUCUCUGUGCCUCAGCUUUGUCAUCUCUAAGUUUUCUACCUAUGAUGGAAAGCAGGAAGAAUUACUUACUGCCAACUCCUCCACAUUGUAAAGAGGAACUGACUUGUCUAUAAAAAUCUCAUAAAUCUCAGCCUAGAUAAAGAAAGAUCAUCUAAGUUAUUUAUCAUCAAAACUCUCAGCCUCCGAAGCCUACUGACUAGUGACCAGUCUGUAAAUGUCACAGGA